rnacentral:rRNA from 1 species
AUGGCCCUCGUGUGGACGACCCGUCCGCCUACCGAAGCAUCGCUGGAGGCCUGCAGUACCUCACCAUCACCCGCCCCGAGCUUGCCUACGCCGUCCAACAGGUCUGCUUGCACAUGCAUGACCCGCGCGAGUGCCACCUCGCUUUGGUCAAGCGUGUGCCGCGGUACGUGCGCGGCAUACGUGCGCGGCACGGCGUCCCUCGGUCUGCAUCUCCGCGCCUCGGCCACACUCGAUGUACGUGCCUUCACCGAUGCUGACUGGGCGGGCUGCCCCGACACACGCCGUUCCACGUCCGGCUUCGUCGUCUACCUCGGCAACGCGCUCGUCUCCUGGUCCUCCAAGCGCCAGGCAACGGUGUCCCGCUCCAGUGUGGAGGCCGAAUACCGUGGCGUCGCCAACGCCAUCGCCGAGUGCGUCUGGCUCCGUCAACUCCUCGGCGAGCUCCUGGCUCCAGUGCACAAGGCCACGCUGGUGUUCUGCGACAACGUGUCCGCCGUCUACCUCUCCGCCAACCCAGUGCACCACCGCCGGACGAAGCACGUGGAGCUCGACAUCCACUUCGUUCGCGAGCGCGUGGCGUUGGGCCAAUUCCGCAUCGUUCACAUCCCCACUCGGCAGCAGCUCGCCGACAUCAUGACCAAAGGCUUGCCCUCGGACGUUUUCUCUGAGUUCAGGUCCAGUCUUUGCGUCGCCGGUGACGACGUCACGACUGCGGGGGGUGUUAGACUAUACUUGUACUCAUUAUCGCAUGUGCUCAUAUCCACUCCUGUACGUAGCACAUACGCUAGGUAG